GAUGAACGCUGGUGGCGUGCCUAAUACAUGCAAGUCGAGCGAAGCGGGGACGGGCGAGUAACACGUGGAUAACCUCCUAUAAGACUGGGAUAACUUCGGGAAACCGGAGCUAAACCGGAUAUCUAUAGAUGGACCCGCGCUGCAUUGUCUAGUUGGUAAGGUAACGGCUUACCAAGGCAACGAUGCAUAGCCGACCUGAGAGGGUGAUCGGCCACACUGGAACUGAGACACGGUCCAGACUCCUACGGGAGGCAGCAGUAGGGAAUCUUCCGCAUGGGGCGAAGGCCUGACGAAGCCACACCGCGUGGGUAGUGAAGGUCUUCGGAUCAUAAAACUCUAUUAUUAGGGAAGCGGUACCUAAUCGGAAAGCCGCGGCUAACUACGUGCCAGCAGCCGCGGUGAUUC
rnacentral:rRNA from 1 species